CAACUCCUCAGCAGCUCUGCACUGGCCUUGGCUCUGCUUCUGGGGGAAACUUAAUAAAUAAAAAUUGAAGAUUUCUGGACAUUUGUUCACAUGUGUCCGAGAGGAGAUGAAGGCUGUUGGAUCUUGCAUAGGAUGGCUUUGGUUUGCAGUCCUCCUCCCUCCCGUGUCUCAUUCUACCAUAGUCACUGACAAAACAGCUACUGAGUGCCCAGUAUUGAAAGUAGAAGGACAUCACUUCAGCCAUCUGUGCAAAGAAAACUCAAG